rnacentral:rRNA from 1 species
UACAGAGGUCUCAAGCGUUGUUCGGAUUCAUUGGGCGUAAAGGGUGCGUAGGUGGUGAUGCAAGUCUGGUGUGAAAUCUCGGAGCUCAACUCCGAAAUUGCACCGGAUACUGCGUGACUCGAGGACUGUAGAGGAGAUCGGAAUUCACGGUGUAGCAGUGAAAUGCGUAGAUAUCGUGAGGAAGACCAGUGGCGAAGGCGGCUCACUGGACCGGUACUGACGCUGAUGCGCGAAAGCGUGGGGAGCAAACGGG